rnacentral:rRNA from 1 species
UGUCCUACGGGACGCAGCAGUGGGGAAUAUUGCACAAUGGGGGAAACCCUGAUGCAGCAACGCCGCGUGAGUGAAGGAGUAUUUCGGUAUGUAAAGCUCUAUCAGUAGGGAAGAAGAAAGACGGUACCUGACUAAGAAGCCCCGGCUAGCUACGUGCCAGCAGCCGCGGUAAUACGUAGGGGGCAAGCGUUAUCCGGAUUUACUGGGUGUAAAGGGAGCGUAGGCGGCCUGGCAAGCCUGAUGUGAAAUACCGGGGCCCAACCCCGGGGCUGCAUUGGGAACUGCCAGGCUGGAGUGCCGGAGAG